CUUAAAUCGAUGGUUUGCUUCUGGAUAACAAGGCAGACGUGUGUUGUGGUGAGACGGUAUUUCCUCCCAUACUUCUGAGUGCAUCCGUGCGAAGAAACAGAGACGGGAAUGAUGGCUUAAUAAGAGAGAAAGAGGAAGGUCUCGACACACAGCCUGAAAAAGAUGCUCUGAGCUCCACGGAUGUGUUGGUAAGAGCUGAAACAUACGGCUGCCGAGAACCGCCACUGCCGCAAAUAGAAGAAAAAAAAAAGCAUAAAAGAAGUCACAACGGAAGUUAUCGAUGCAAAAAAAAAAAAAAAAAGCAAACAAAGCCCACCGCAAAUAGAAAAAGAAAAAGUGCAGAUAAAAAAAAAGCCACAAGCCUAACGAUGCCAAUAAAAGUGGAGAUGCAAGCAAAAGAGGUUAGAGCAAAGACGUUAGUGGAAAGAUUAUUGUUUAAUUUGGCUUUGUAAACUUUUCAAUGUGUCAUUUGGUUAGGCCAUGUAGCGCCUGAGUCUGGUGUAAUGUUAGCUUCAGUUCAACUUCAUUUCAGCUUAGGCACAUCAUGGCUGGACCAAAUGACACAUUAAAAAGUUUACAAGGCAAAAUUCAACAAUAACCUUUCCACUUACUUCUUUGCUCAUCUUCUUGCCGUCGUCUUCUGUGCCUAGAUUGUAAGACACCGGUGCUUCAUCAUUAUUGGUCCCCGGCAGCUCACUUCCGUCGUGGCUUUUUUUUUGUUUGUUUUUUUUUUUUUGCAUCCUUUUAUUUUCGCAGUAAGUAACUUUUUUUUCUUUAUGCAUCGCUUAUUUUUUGUGUGUCAUUAACUUCCGUUGCACCAUUUCUUCCAUAGUGACUUCUUUUAUUAUAUAUUUUUUUUGCAUUCUUUUUUAUUUGCAGCAGUGGCGGUCCUCAGCCACCGUAACCGUAUAAACAAGAUGAAGCUCUGUAAUUAGAAAAGUUUCCAUAUAAUUGCAUGUAAACCUUCGAGCUCUCUCGUAACAGACACUUAAAGAAGAGCCCUUACUCUUCAAUAUGGGUCAACAAACCAGGAUUUUGACUAGGAUGCACAUGCAUGAAACAGCCUGACUUAAACCAAACUUUAAAUGGGCCAAAGAGUAAAAAUGAGUCAAAAAUACUCACUGAAAAUAAUAGGGUAAUGUUUUGAGAGUUUUUGCAUAUCUUCACCGACUUUCAGGGCUCACAGAGAAAACUCUUACACAGGACUCCAGGAGAACCCAAUAUUUCCCAAGUUUCUUCACAAAUUAAUAUUUAACCAGCAUCAUAUUCAGAGGAGCCUCGAAUAUUUCGACAUCCUUCUUCAUACUCUAUUUUAGCUCUGUUUGCAAAAACUUGAUAGGUGAAAGUUAUGCUCCUACAAGCCUUUAAAACUGUCUAAAGAAAGCAACCUUACUGUAGAAGAAAAUUGUCACUUUCUCAUACAUUUCACUUCUACAAAAAGAAAUCGUACAUUUUUAAAAUUGUAGAGGUGUGCCUUCAUUAACCUUUUAAUAAAGAAUACAUAGAUGGCUUUAUGAGGAGAAACACAGGGUCAAAGUAAAAUGUGAUUAAACUGACAUGAGAGGAAUCAGUGUAACAUUUUUUUAUAAUUUAAGUACUUGAAUAUUUUGCUGAAGUUAUACAACCUAGCAUCAAAAAUACGUUAAUGAAAAGUUAUAAUCACCCAUGUGUCCUGAUAUUUGAGAAAAGCUGAAAAGAGUGUCCUUUUGGAUGCUCCUUUAGUAAAUAGAAAAAAAUACAAAAUGCCCACUCUGGUGCCCUUUCUAAGGAAAAUGCUUGAAACACUGCUCUUGAAGCCAAUAGAUCAAAAAUGAAACAUAACAGAGAGUCCUCUGGAUGGUCUCCCAGUGUAUAAAUCAUUAAAAAAAACUGUCCUGAGGGUGCCCCUCCAAAUAGAAUGUAGUGAAAAGUAUCCUCUGGAUGCUCCUCCAGUAAAAUUAACCUGAAUAACUACUUUCUGAAUGCCCUUCCAGUGGAUUAACACUGAAUUUCCUUACAGGGAUUGUUACGUGUGGCACUCUCUUGGUGCGAGGUUUGGUGGCUGCACCUCUUCUUUCUUUUUGGUCAAAUGAUUAACCUAUUCAUUUUUCCCAGGUUGCUCAUAUAUUUAACUCGUUGAUCUUCCCCAGGUUGAGCUGCUGGGUUUUGUUAUUUUAGUUUAGAUGUAGGUUGCCGGUAGCCCUAUUUUCGGUUCUUUCUUUUCUGAUUAAAUAGUUAGUUCUUUUUGGUUAUGUUAUGAAUCGAACAAAGGCCGGGAUCCAAAAAUGCAAUGGCAAAUGCCCAAAUUUAUUGACAAUAAACAAUAGAACAAAAAAUCACCUUUGCUCAAGGGGAAAAUUCUCUGGAAAGUAACAAAAAAACUCACAAACGAACACUGAGAAGCAAGCUGGAUACACAGGCAGGAGAUCAGGGAGCUCGGCGUGGCAAGACACGUGUGACAUGACUGGGAAAUCAUCCAGCACUGAGUCGACAGAGGAGCUGGCAUAUAAAGCCAGGUAAAUGACAACAACGAGAAUCAGGUGCGUGCAAUCAGUCCGGGCCAGCCCUGCCUCCCGCCGUGCCUCCAGCACUGCAGAGAGAGAGAGAGAGAGAGGGAGAACACACACAAAGGAGAGGAACACAGGAAACCCAACUGCUGUAUAAACUCAAAACCUCACAAGUUAGGUAGUUUUAGUUAGGGGUGGUGACUAGUCCUAUGGCCCAUUGUGAAGCUAGCCAUGUUCACCACCCCUUUUUGUUACUUUUGGCCGGCGCCUAUAGCCUUUUUGUUUCAUUGCUUUAUUUUUGAAUUAUUAAUUACUGCUUAUUUUAAUAAAAUUAAGAUUUUUUUGUUGAUGUUGACAGUCUCAGCCUGUCCUUUGCAUAUGUUACUGGUCUCUUUUACCAGCCCUAUUUCUGCUCUUGGUGGUGUAAAUUAAUUAUUUCAAGAGGUCGUAACAGGGAUCAAUAAAGUUCUUCUUCUUCUUCUUCUGCUUUUUCUUUGUCUUCUUCUUUGUUUUCUUCUUUGUCGUCUCCUUUUUUUCUUCUCUGUCAUCAUCUUCUUUGUCAUCUUCUUUUUUGUUGUCUUCUUUUUCAUUGUCUUCUUCUACGUCGUCUUCUUCAUUGUCUUUUUUUUUUCUUUUCUUCUUUAUCGUCUACUUCUUUUUCAUCUUCUUUUUCGUCAUCAUCUUCGUCAUCUUCUUCUUUGUCGUCUUCUUCUUCUUCGUCCUCUUCUUCUUUUUCUUUGUCUUCUUCUUCAUUGUCUUCGUCUUCUUCGUCUUCAUCUUCGUCUUCUUAAGCUCAAAAUGUCCUGGACCCCCACACCCUUGGAGUUGGAAUUAACUCCACACCAUGGAUAUCAGCAAUGUCAAAAUUAAUUCCAUUUCCUAUUUGUCCAAAGAAGACUUUUACUGGCUCAUUACUUCUGACAAGCCAGGGUUAGAUCUGUUUUACAACAACAUGGUGAUCUCAGAAUAUCAGGGAGAACAGAAAAGUAAAGAGCAACAAAAAAGAUCUUAGAAAUGUUGAUGGAGGUGGACUUUUUUUUUUUCACAACGCUCUGUUCACAGAUGCCACAUGGCUUGUAUCGGCUGCCCUUUUUAUUUAUUUUUGCCUCUUUUUAUUCAUUAAUAAACAAAAAAAAAAAAAAAAAACAUAAACGACCUAGAAGACUGUACUGUUGAGGCUAAAAUCCUUUAUCAGACAAGAAUGAGACAACAUUUUACUUUUAUAGUUUGCUAUUAUUCACAGAGUGGUGUUAAGAGAGGAGGCGAUGCAACACAAUAAUAAACACUCCUCUUUGCCAUAUUUUCUUUAUAUGUGUGGCUGGCAUCAGAUUUGAAAUAACAAUUUACAAAAAAACAUUGUCAUAUAUGCACUACUUUAGAAUAAUAUAGGGUUUAAAUGUUUUGAAAACCAUCAAAAUCUAUUUUAUUUGCAAGGUGACUCAACUUCUUUGAGAAUGUAGACUUUGUCCGCAUUCAAACUAAAAUGGAUUUAAAGCAGCUAAAGGACCAUGUUAUUGUUGAUUUUCUUGCAUGUUUGUGUGACUAGAAGCUCUAAAAGAGUAAAAAGAAGCCUAGAAAAUGUCCCUUUUUCUUUGCAGAGAGGUGUGAUAUAUGAAAACUGAACAACCAGCACAUUGUCUUAUUCUCCACCAAUAGGUCAUAUUCGCAGCCAUCAACCACUGCACCAUUUGUCCCUCUCUGGAGCCGUUUUAUUAAAGUCAAGCUUCCUGCCAAGUGAAGAGCUCCCGCCUGCUCUGAGACAAAUGACUUCUCCCUCUCUGUCGCAUCAAUGAGGCAGAGCGCUGCGUAAAACUGAGCCAUCAAACAGAGCACAGGGAACAAAUGUGCAGCCAAACAUUUUGAACAACUCUCUCAUUUAGCACUGUUUUUUCUAAAAAGGGGUUUUAGACUUACACAUGAGUUGGCAUGGCUGCUGGGUAAGAUGGGAUGGAAAUUGAGCCGGCAGUCUGCCUUCAUUUGUUUAAUCAUCGAUCCGGCACGUCCUAAUCAGCAAGGUGCCAAGCUGAAGGCAAGAAGCAGCAAAUAUAACAAAUGGUUAAUGACAGGGCCUAAUUGUUAAGGUCCAAAACAGGCUUGAAACAAAUCCUUAACUCAGCACAUGCUCAGUGAACAGCAAGCAGUAUUUUCCAUUAAAACUCACAGGCUAAUGUCUACAGAUCAACAAGUACUGUUUCGUUCAUUAUCAGCGGCAGUACAAAGCUCAUUCUCUAAAUGGGAGUGAAAGAAGAGGCUUUGAUGUGCAGGGUUUAAUACUGAUGAUCAAGCAGCAGUGUCUCCCACCGGGAUACAGCCCACCUCCGACACUGUCAGGUCAGAGUCAGCACUGCCUGUACUCUUACUGUACGUCUAUUCAAUAUUCAUCUCCUAUCCCAGCCAUAAAAAAGUGCUGCAGCAGCGUAUGAUCAGCCAUGUUUCCUCUUAUUCUCACCAGGUGCCUGCCACUUAGUCUGCUUUAACACUAAGAAACUUAAAGUUACAUGUCAGUCAGCUUUACUGAGCUUCUAACUGCACGAAACAGAUUCCCCCAACAGAAAACCCCAACAGCUUCAUUUUUUACAAACCCAUUUAGCCUCACUGACAUCAAGUAUACUGCUAGAGGGAGGCAAGUACACUAACUCUUUACACAGAUAUCGAUAUCCAGAUGCUAACGCACUUCUAUUUUACCACAGUGAAGACUCAGGUAAAACUAGAAUUUACUUUGCUGAAUUAAACAACAGACUUUUUCACGUAGUCACAUUUUAUAAAUGUUCCAUGUCUCAACCUCACAUCAUGUUUGGUAUAAACAUAUUUUAUCAAAAAUUAUUAUGAUUCUAAUAAAUAUAAGAAAACUGAUAUACAGCUGCAGAAUAGUGUCAUGCAAAAUUUCUUGAUCUGAUCAAAAAAGAAGCGCAGAAGAAGAGUUGUAUUUACGCCUGUGCUGUCAACAAACCAACAAACACCCUGGUGGUUCACUCCAUCCAAUUCAAGAGUUUUCCCCCUGUUAAAUAUUGUCACUAGAUGGCACCCUUGUGUGUUUAUUUUACUGUUCCGCCAAAGGUAGCACUGAGCGUGCAGAUGUGACAUCAUUACGCUGUAUGCACGCCUUGUUAUGUUAUCAGAGGAGCAGACACAGCACAUGUGGUUGUGUUUUAUGUCAGAGUGUUAAUAAUGAAAUCUCCUGUACUGGCCACAAUAAAUUAACCAAAGGCUAAAGAGUGAAGAUCGAGUCAGAUAAAAGAGUCACGAUGGGAAUAAGUGUUUACAUGGACAUGUUUCAGAAUAAUAACCGGCAUAAACCACCCCUCUCAAUUGAAAUACAAUUUCUUCCUGAUUGAGCCGAAUUGGAUCAAAAUCUUCCGAUCGACAUGUUUACAUGUCGCAUUUUUAUUCCGAUCGGGCAUUUAUUCCGAUUAUUGUGCCCAUGUAAACGCAGCUAAUGGCAAUGUUUCGCAUGGACCAGUCAGGCCAAACUGAGCAGAAAUUAUCUACCCUUCUGAGGAUCAUCUCAAGUGUUCUUCCCUGCUCUUACAGUGCUAACAGACCAAAUACGACCACAAACAUCAAGAAAUGCCUGCCCACUUCUACCCAUCCUCCUAGUAACAUUUGUACUUUUCAACUUUGGACCAAAGCCUGGAGUGGAAACUCUAGUGCAUGCGCAAAAUGCUUAGGUCAGUUCUGUUGACAGAGGUAGUGAUAAUGUGGUAAUGUGGGCGCUUUUACACAAUGCAGACGCUUGGCAUAAAACUGUCAAGUCGUGCCUGUUGUAAAAUAAUGAUGACUCUCGCGCAGCACACAAAAAACUUUAUGUGGUGUGCGAAAUGGGGCCCAAUAUGUCCUCUUUUGCAAAAUGAGCAGGUCCUAAACUUUCUCUGUGAAACAUUAUCAAAAGAGACCCAGUAUUGUUGAGGAGGCAUUUGGUUGUACUUGAGAAGCAUAGUGCCAAACCAGGCUGAUUAAAGAACAGCCAUGAAGUAGUCAGGUUGUGGUAAAGAGAGGCAGAGACGAAUGGAGAGAUAAACAGAGACAAACGAACAGACAAACUCUUAUUCUUGGUUUAUUUCCACUCUCCCUGAUGGCUUUGCUCUGGUAUGUCCUGCUGUAAUGUGUGAUGCAUCAUAGCACACAGUUGAAAGCUAAACUGCUCCUACUUUGCACCAGCAUUCAGAGUGUUCAGAGCACAGGGUCAGAGAUACGCAUGCCUGAGCCGGCAGGCCAAGGUGGACUCCAGGGUCUGGUGUAGUAAAGGGCUGAAAUCCAUAAUGAUCAGUCUCUCAGGCUCACUGAAUAAUGCAAAGCUUUAUAAUAGAAGCCACUCUCUAAUGGCAGAGAUAGAUAAGAACAAUUUCACACACUGGCAGCAAACCGCUUGCUUAUUUAUCCAGCAUCUGCAAUAGCAGAGAGAGAUGAUGGGGAGGGGGGUACAAACAAAACAAGAGAGGCAAAGGCUGAAAAGUGCAAUACUUUUUCACAUUCGCUGCUACCACAGAAUAUAAAAAAACAGACUUUAUCCCCCUUUUCUUUGAUCUCAAUCCUCUGUUGUUCUCGUUUUACAGCUCAAGGGAUCCGCAGUUUUAAUUGUAAAACCUAUUGACUUUCUGUCUUUGUUUGCUCUGUCCAGGUUUUGCACAAAGUAAGCUUUGCUUUGCUUCUGUACACCCUUCACUGGAUCACUUCUGACUGCUGAGAAUAAAGAUGUGCU
rnacentral:lncRNA from 1 species